ACUGUUCCAAUUUAUUUUUUAAAAGAUAAGGUGAAUUCUCUAAUUUAUAGAACAGAAAGCAAAAUUCUAAACUACAUAAUUGAGUGUUAGUAGGAGAAAGAGAAACAGUAAUGACUAAAAGUCAUUUUAUCUUCAUCAAAACUAGUCAUACCAGUCUGACCGCCAUUUUUUUCUUGACAAAUAUAAUAGAGUAGGACAGCAAGGUGGCUCAGUGGAUUGAGUGCCAGUUCUGGAGCCAGGAGGAUCUAAGUUCAAAUUUGACUUCAGACACUUACUAGCUUUAUAAUCCUGGGCAAGUCACUUAAUUCUGUUUUUGUUUUUUUUUCAGAUCCUCAUCUGUAAAAUGAGAAGGAAAUGGCAAAGCACUCCAGGAUCUCUGCCAAGAAAACCCCAAAUAGAGGCCACAAAGAGUUGGGUAUGACUGAAACAACUCAACAGCAAAAACAAUAAAAUUUAGACUUAAUACAACUCCCUAAUAAUAGAACUAUCCAAACAUGAAAUACACUUUAUGAAGUAAAAAAGUUCUCCUUCACCGAAAGCCUUCAAGAAAAUUCGGAAUAAUUAACACUUUCGGAAAUGUAUUUCCCAUUUCUAAGCUCCAUUCUCCUAACUUGUAAAAGGAAGGAAUUGAACAAGAUGAAUUCUAAGCUCCGGUUCUAGACCCUGUGAUUUUGAUUAUCCCAAGGCCAGCCAUGAAUAUGCUUUAUCCAUGAUACGCAGCCUUCAGAAGUUCCAUCAGCUAGACCAUACAGGUCAGAAAUGAGUAUUCUGCAACCAGACUAAUCAUACAGUUACACAUCUCACAGUCUUGAAGCAUAUAAAUACUCAAGAUGCUCUCUUUUGUCUUCAUUUGCUACCACAUGACCCGUAUUCUCAUGGUAAACUCGAUUAGUCAAGCAAGACUCUCUGCAGUGAAAUGGGGAUUCAAUAACUCAGUGUCUUCCUAAAAAAAUGAACAUGUCACAUGCAGUUGUGUCAAAAAUAACACAAUCAUGCUCAGCAUUGUUCUUGGGCAGAACUGGAGGGAAGCAGGGCAGUUCUAUUCUUAUGAUGAUUUCUCUCCUAAUAAAACCCAAGGCAAUAUGUUUGGAGAGAACGUGCUGCUUCUCCCCAUAUAAAUCUUCUUGGCUGUGCUGUAUUCAGAAGGGUUUGAUUUGGGGGUAAUUUUUUUUUUUUGCUUGUUUGCUUAUUUUCACAGCUUGAAAAUCUGAGGUGAAAACUUAGGGUGGGAUGAAUGCCUGAAAAGUGACUAUCAGGUGACGUUGCCAUGGAAAUUUUUUAAAUUAGAUGGUGUUUCACUAAGAUGUUCUUUUCAGGAAGGAAUCCAUACUCUUUUUUUUUUUUUAAUUCUUCAUUUUACAAAUAGGUAUGACCGUGACAUCAUUAUUUGGGUCUGGUUCUGGCUCUCUCAGUGGCUGUGUAUUUCUGUGUCAUGUUUGCAAACCUCACUGAGGACUAAAAAGAAUUUGAGAGGGCAAAUGUUUAAAAUAAACCAUUUUUGCAACCAA